rnacentral:piRNA from 1 species
UCUUUGACGACAGCUUCGAGAUCCCCACGUU